GGAACAGGAGCUAAUACCGGAUAAUAUAUUGAACCGCAUGGUUCAAUAGUGAAAGACGGUUUUGCUGUCACUUAUAGAUGGAUCCGCGCCGCAUUAGCUAGUUGGUAAGGUAACGGCUUACCAAGGCAACGAUGCGUAGCCGACCUGAGAGGGUGAUCGGCCACACUGGAACUGAGACACGGUCCAG
rnacentral:rRNA from 1 species